rnacentral:rRNA from 1 species
UACGAAGGGGGCUAGCGUUGUUCGGAAUUACUGGGCGUAAAGGGCGCGUAGGCGGUCCUUCAAGUCAGGCGUGAAAGCCCCGGGCUCAACCUGGGAACCGCGCUUGAGACUGGCGGGCUAGAGUUCGGGAGAGGAUGGUGGAAUUCCCAGUGUAGAGGUGAAAUUCGUAGAUAUUCGCAAGAACACCAGUGGCGAAGGCGGCUCACUGGCCCGAUACUGACGCUGAGGCACGAAAGCGUGGGGAGCAAACAGG